rnacentral:rRNA from 1 species
CCUACGGGUGGCAGCAGUCGAGAAUCAUUCACAAUGGGGGAAACCCUGAUGGUGCGACGCCGCGUGGGGGAAUGAAGGUCUUCGGAUUGUAAACCCCUGUCAUGUGGGAGCAAAUUAAAAAGAUAGUACCACUAGAGGAAGAGACUGCUAACUCUGUGUCAGCAGCCUCGGUAAAACAGAGGGCUCAAGCGUUGUUCGGAAUCACGGUGGGUAAAGCGUGCGUGGGCUGUUACAUAAGUCGUGUGUGAAAGGCGCGGGCUCAACCCGCGGAGGGCCGAUGAUACUGCGAGACUAGAGUGAUGGAGGAGGAACCGGAAUUCGCGGUGUAGCAGUGAAAUGCGUAGAUAUCGCGAGGAACACUCGUGGCGAAGGCAGGUUACUGGACAUUAACUGACGCUGAGGCACGAAGGCCAGGGGAGCGAAAGGGAUUAGAUACCCUAGUAGUC